rnacentral:rRNA from 1 species
UACGCAGGCAGCAAGCGUUGUUCGGAAUUACUGGGCGUAAAGAGUGUGUAGGCGGUGCUCUAAGUCUGUCGUGAAAUCUCCCGGCUUAACUGGGAGGGUGCGGCGGAUACUAUUGUGCUAGAGGGUGGGAGAGGUAAGCGGAAUUCCUGGUGUAGCGGUGAAAUGCGUAGAUAUCAGGAGGAACACCGGUGGCGAAGGCGGCAUCCUGGACCAACACUGACGCUGAGUGAGCGAAAGCCAGGGGAGCAAACGGG